AAAAGGCCCCCCCCUCUGUUUUCGAGAGAGCUUCCUUCCCAUCAUUGUUGCUGUAUCACCCAGUACUGAGUGAAACAACCAAACCAAGUCCUUGCUGAUUAUUUGCAUAGAAUAGAGAAUUCUGCGGAAUUCGGACCAGGCACAGGUUGGCAACAGUGCAGGGUCCCUUUGGCAGUUCCCCACAUUGUCCAAGAUAUUAAGCUUGACUCCUUGCCAACAUUCCAAGUGAAGUGCGUGUAUGUGGAAGAAGUCCCUCCCUCUGACCAUGCCACGCUGGUGUUUUGGUUUUAAAUUUCGAACAUUGAGAAGAACCAUAACAACAACUUCAGUUGCCAGUUGACCUUGCGUUCCAUAGUGUUCCAGAGGUUGAGUAGACAGAAAUUGCACUUUAUGGGCCCUGUAUAAGUGCAUGUUGUAUGACUUAACAGUUGGUGUCAUUUUGUCAAUUUACAUAAAACGUAAAUAAACCAUCAUGUUUUCCUCGAAAAGCAUUACGUGUACUAGGUUUACUUAAAAACAUUACAUUUGUCUUGAUUUGAAAUGCUACAGUGCGGCUCUUCGGUUAAUUCUCUGGAUUUUUACGUCAAGACAUGCUUGAGUUGGGGGAAAAGGGAGCAUGACCCGUGAUGGACAGUGACCAGACCUGGAGACUUGAUAAGUCGCGUGUGGGCUUGGAUGGGACCCGGACUGUGUUGCUAUCUAACCACAGCAUGUGAGGCUGCAGACACAAACAUUUGUAUUUGUAUUUUGAUGGAUUGGAUUGGGGUCGAGAGUUGAUUAAAUGUGCAGGUUGUAUGUCUUAUCAUUGAAGGACUGAAGAGCACACUACAUGAAUGUUAGGUACAUGCAUUAGCUCUCUGUGUUACGUGCCUCGUCAUUUUGCAACAUUUUAUUCAUCGUAGAGUUUAAUUGAAUUUAUGUUCAUAUUCAGUUUUUUUUUAUAAUUUUCAUUUGUUUACAUGUUGAGAUUUUAAAAUCUUUUAUUAUCAAUCUUUUGUGUUCUGAACUUGGCACAUGUUUUUGUGUCAAUCGACAUAAAGUGUAGUUUUAAUGUCUCAAAACUCGAAGAAAAAAAAUUGGUUAUUCAGUCAAGAGCUCUGAAGUUUUUGGGGUGCCCCUUACAAACAUCUGCUAGGUGCUUACACUUCAGCCGUAUUUCCCAAAUUAGUGAAAUGCACAGGUGCAAAAUUACUGCAAGGUGUGUGUAGUUUGUUAUAAUGGGUUUAGCGAAUUCCCUAUUCCUUCCUAGUUUUGUUUAAAUCAUGGAGAAAGGACACAUUUAGGCCUCACAUGAUUAUGGCAAGAAUGCUUUUAUUCCUUUGCUCCGUGAAGCUUUCAUAGGGGGAGGGUGACCAUGACCUGCUACUGACUCUCCUCGGUCCGUUGCUCCCAGAAGGGAUGCGAGGUCAUUCGGCCGGGCGAGCUCAAGCAGCCUUCUCCCUUUAAAUACAGCUUGAGUUGACCUGGCCAGGUUCCCCGCGAUCACUUCACAGCUAGGUGUCUGGAAUUGCAUUCUGCGUCUGCAUAUAUUAAACCAUAUACACAUGUACAUGCAUAUACUGUCUGCCUGGCAGACAUCAGUUAAGCUGUGGAUUUUCUGUGCAACGUGUACUGGCCAGUUAAAAGCAGAUCUCUUUCCAGCCGUGACUUGCCUGAAAUUACUAGUUUGCAUGAUGUUUUAAUUAAUUUGUAGUCCUUCCUCGGGCAUAGAUGUCUUUGUGUGUGAUAACCCAGGCUCACUGUUUGGAGUUUUCAUCAGUUUUAUCAUACAAGGAUUGCCCUGCUGCUAGAUUCAAAGCAAACUUGUCAAGCCCCAGUUAGAAAUUUACAGUUUUUUCUUUUAUUUAACAGGAUUCCCCAAUUUUUAUGCUAGUUGAUGGAUACUUAAAUACAUUUUCCUAAGCUGUGCCACUUCGUACCUAGAAAGAUUAUAGCAAGUUUUGUAUGUUUGUGUCUCGGUAAUUUCUCAAUACAAUGUAGUGAAAUAAAGUGUCAGUACGGAGAAAAUGGA